GCCUCUGGCAGAGGACUGUAGGACACAGAGGGAUAAGGAAGUGAAACAGUACGCCUCCAGAUUAUCUUCAGCAGCUGGGGAGAUGUAACACAAUGAGAGAAGGUGAAAGUGUGAAGCUCAGAAUAUGAAUGUGAGGUUUCCAGGUUUUCUCCCAUCCCAGCAUCCCUGGACUCCUUACAAUUUUACCACAAGUGCUUCUGGGCAGAGGGACAUUGGGCACUAUUCUCAAUAGUUUCUUUUUUCUGUAAGAAAAUAAAUCAAAAUAAGAUGGAAAAACUGAGGAAGGUUACAAACAGAAGACAAUAGCAUCCACAUCCAUAUUCACAUCCCCUAAUAAAACUACAUGUUCACACAGUUUGUAAAUGCAGGGUAAAAGAUCCAACAUUGGGUUUCUGUUAAUGGAACAAAAGAUCCAAUGGAAACAAGACAUGGUGAUCAUCACUUCCCACUGCAUCCCAUCCCUGAGCACUUCAGAAACCUACUCCAGAGAGAAUUUGACAGUAUCACAGGGUGGAGGAAGAACACGAAGAAAAAGAAGGUCCUAACAUGGAGGGAGGACCCAAAUACACUAUAGUGAAGUCAGAACAGAAUCAAUAGACACAAAGUACUGCCUGAUUUGGGGUUGAAGCAAGAAACAAGCUCAUGGAAUGCUAUGAAAUUAGAUGAAGAACAGAGAAUGACAUGCCUAGUUGGCUGAUUGUUACCCUAAACUGGAACACUUUGUGCCACAACAUUUGUUGCAGGUCUCAUUUGUCUCACAUGGUAAUGGCUUUACAAACCACCUCUACUAAAUGAACUGUAUUUUUUAAAAUUCAGGUUUCAGCUUCUAAGUAGCAAUGUGUAACGUAAACAUGAAACAUCAAGGAAAUUAUUAAAACUUUGUCUGCUUUGUCUUCCUGCUCCUUACAGAA